GUGAUACUCUAUCAGCUUGGGGCCACAUCUUUGAUGACAUUAAACUUAUGCUGAAAAAGUAGCUGGUACUUGGGAAACUGAUUGCUGCUUGCUUUUCAAUGACUAAUGAGGCUGCCAAGGCCUUGUCUUCUUGUAUCACACUCAGCUGGAGGAGUCCAUGCCAUUUGCAUUGAAGAAUGUCCUCCUUUCGUACAACCAUUACUGUAGGUUUUGGCCUUAUUUGUGUGUCAUGCUCAAAUAUACCUCUUUUUUUUUAAUCAAAAUAUAAAGCAUCAUCUCUCCUUGUUAGAAGCAUACUCUUGAUUCAAACCCCUCUUACAUCAAGCUCAAGGAAAGGAGAUCAUGUGGAGGUCUUGGAGUUCCAGAAGAGGGGGGCACUCAGCAAAAUGGUAAGAACUCGAUGAGCUGAUCACAUGAACUGCACCUUGGUUUGCUUUCUUGUAAACCAUGCCCCCACCAGACUCCAUCUCAGUUCUCAACACUUGGGCGAGUAAUUAUUCGGCUAACAGCCAAUUCUUGGAAUUUUCUUGUCUCACCAAAAAGAAUAGUCAAAUCAUGAUUUUCCUUUAUUGAAGUGAGCUUUUUCUUUUUUCUUUUUUCGGGUUUGGUUUUUCAUUUUCCAUUCAGUGGUGGGGAAUUGAAUCUGUAUGGUGGUUUGGGUGGGAGGUAUUCAAUGAGGGGAUUUGGAUUUUAGUUUUUAGUUUAAAUGACUUGAAUAAAAUAAAAUUUUAUAA